UGCAUGGUGGAACAGUUGGUAGCACUGUUGCCUUGCAACAAGAAGGUCCUGGGUUCGAUUCCCGGCCGGGGGUCUUUCUGCAU